rnacentral:rRNA from 1 species
AGUGAACGCUGGCGGUAGGCCUAACACAUGCAAGUCGAACGGCAGCACAGUAAGAGCUUGCUCUUACGGGUGGCGAGUGGCGGACGGGUGAGGAAUACAUCGGAAUCUACUUUUUCGUGGGGGAUAACGUAGGGAAACUUACGCUAAUACCGCAUACGACCUACGGGUGAAAGCAGUGGAUCUUCGGACCUUGCGCGAUUGAAUGAGCCGAUGUCGGAUUAGCUAGUUGGCGGGGUAAAGGCCCACCAAGGCGACGAUCCGUAGCUGGUCUGAGAGGCUGAUCAGCCACACUGGAACUGAGACACGGUCCAGACUCCUACGGGAGGCAGCAGUGGGGAAUAUUGGACAAUGGGCGCAAGCCUGAUCCAGCCAUACCGCGUGGGUGAAGAAGGCGUUCGGGUUGUAAAGACCUUUUGUUGGGAAAGAAAAGCAGCAGGUUAAUACCCCGCUGUUCUGACGGUAACCAAAGAAUAAGCACCGGCUAACUUCGUG